rnacentral:rRNA from 1 species
UACGGAGGGAGCUAGCGUUGUUCGGAAUUACUGGGCGUAAAGCGCGCGUAGGCGGCUUUGUAAGUUAGAGGUGAAAGCCCGGGGCUCAACCCCGGAAUUGCCUUUAAGACUGCAUCGCUUGAAUCCGGGAGAGGUGAGUGGAAUUCCGAGUGUAGAGGUGAAAUUCGUAGAUAUUCGGAGGAACACCAGUGGCGAAGGCGGCUCACUGGCUCGGUACUGACGCUGAGGUGCGAAAGCGUGGGGAGCAAACAGG